ACAAGCAAGCGACUUUUCCAACUUAAAACAUUAGUGUUCCCUUAUUUUAUCUUAUUAAUAAAAAUACCAAGCUGAAAGACUUUGGUCAGCUUAUUUUUAUAGAAAUUACCCGUCAAUUUCAAUAUAAGAAUAUGAAACCUUUGACAUUUUGGCAUAAAAGCCUAGUAUUUUACGUGACCGAUACCUUAUUUGACAGUUUAGGAUAAGGUUAGGAUUCAGCUCCUUCCUUCACACAUCUCACAUGCCUUAGAAUUUUCCAAGAAAGUUUUCCACUUUAUUCACAUUCUAUUUCCUUAUAUAUAUCAGCACAAGCCACUAUAUUCAAUUAUUCAUAACCUUUUCGUGCCUCCAAAGGACAGUAUAAUUUUAUAGGUCUCUCUUUAACUUUGGUUUUUCCUCUUCCACACACGGUUUACAGAGGAGCAUGGUGAGGCAAUGGAAAGAGAUGGAAUAUCCAAAGACUCAACUAAAGACUCUGGCACCACAGUAUAUGCUAAUGGUUCUGCCUGUGCAGCGGCCGGGUGUGGAGCAGGUUGUGGCGGAGGCUGUGGUGGUUGACCUCAUAGGUUUUUGUGACUGUACAAGGCAAAGUUGUUAUAUUCAAUUGAAAAACUGUAUUUUCAUGUAACAAUGGGUGGUGGUGCCCU